UUUNGGCCUCGUUUUGGUUUCGAUUUAGCCUGCUAGUCGCACGAGUUCAGACUCGUGGCGAAUAGCUCAGUAACACGUGGCCAAACUACCCUUCGGAACACAAUACCCUCGGGAAACUGAGGCUAAUAGUGUAUACCACAGUCCACCUGGAAUGAGGACUGUGCCAAACGCUCCGGCGCCGGAGGAUGUGGCUGCGGCCGAUUAGGUAGACGGUGGGGUAACGGCCCACCGUGCCAAUAAUCGGUACGGGUCAUGAGAGUGAGAACCCGGAGACGGAAUCUGAGACAAGAUUCCGGGCCCUACGGGGCGCGGCAGGCGCGAAACCUUUACACUGCACGACAGUGCGAUAAGGGAAUCCCAAGUGCGUAGGCAUAGAGCCUACGCUUUUGUCCACCGUAGGGAGGUGGACGAAUAAGGGCUGGGCAAGACCGGUGCCAGCCGCGCGGUAAUACCGGCAGCCCGAGUGAUGGCCGAUCUUAUUGGGCCUAAAGCGUCCGUAGCUGGCCGCGCAAGUCUAUCGGAAAAUCCACCCGCUCAACGGGUGGGCGUCCGGUAGAAACUGCGUGGCUUGGGACCGGAAGGCGCCGACGGGUACGUNCGGGGUAGGAGUGAAAUCUGUAAUCCUGGACGGCCCGNCGAUGGCGAAAAGCACGUNGCGAGAACNGAUNCGACAGUGANGGACGAA
rnacentral:rRNA from 1 species